rnacentral:rRNA from 1 species
UACGUAGGGUGCAAGCGUUAAUCGGAAUUACUGGGCGUAAAGCGUGCGCAGGCGGUUGUGCAAGUCAGAUGUGAAAUCCCCGGGCUUAACCUGGGAAUUGCAUUUGAGACUGCACGGCUAGAGUGUGUCAGAGGGGGGUAGAAUUCCACGUGUAGCAGUGAAAUGCGUAGAUAUGUGGAGGAAUACCGAUGGCGAAGGCAGCCCCCUGGGAUAACACUGACGCUCAUGCACGAAAGCGUGGGGAGCAAACAGG